AAACACCCUGUAGAUAAAGAAAACAGUGACACCUGGUGAAGUGUGCACAGGUUCUUAGUGCAGCGACUUCAAGGUGGGGGUGUUCAGUCUGGGGGUGUGCAAGUGAGUAAGAUACGAACACUGAAGGAGAGAGAUGCCGCGUCGUCCAAGGCUGGACUUGUGUGCUGUGAAGUUCGGAGAGAUGACAAGGGGUCCUGAUGCAACCACUUGGGUUUGCUAAAUAAACAAUGGGGCUCUGCUCAGUGUAAUGUCGAGCUGUCACUGUGCAGCCAGGCCCUCAGUCAGCAAACACUGAUUGAACCUCUAAUGCAGGAGCAGCACAGUGCGCAUGCUGCGGAUGGAACAGCGGACAAGCAGACUGCCCCCACCUGUGGGGAGCUUACUAGUUAGUUCCUUAGAAUGUUUAUAAAGAGUGUCUAAUGACAGGUAAAUUAUUAUGCUAAAAUAGGGAAAGAAAAAAAGUAAAACUAAACAACAAAACAGGAUAUAAAUGGUAUACAUAGCUUGAACAUAACCAUGUAAAAAAAAAUGCCAAGAAAAAAAUACCAUAGGGAAAUAACCAGACUGCUAACAGGAUUGUAUUGGGUGGUCAGAGGAAAGGUAGGUCUUUUUAAAAUUUUUUACAUCUCUGGGUUUUUGAAACUAUUUAAAGAUGAGUUUAUAUUACUUUUAUCAUGUGAAAAGGAAAAAAAAUCCUAAAAAUGUUUCUUAUAAAUGCAUGUGACUCAAAUAUUUUGACUAUUUUUUUUAAAAUUCAAGAUCAAUAUGAAACAUCUUCAAGACUUGGCUUUAAUAAGCUUUGAUGUUUAAUAAGAAAGGUAGGCUUCUAGGGUGUGUUAAGCCCUUUGAAGCAAGAGAUGUGGCCACGUGACUAGUUUUUCUCCAAAGAAAUGUGAGAAGAGGCACCUGUGACCUAGUCUAGAUGGUGCCGAUGGCGACGGUGCCCAAGGGGUGGUGAGCCAAUAACAUAGAAGAAACUGGGUCCCUAAGUGACCUGGAGGAGCACAGCUGCCAACCAACCUGGGGACUAACCUCAGAACUAUUACACGGAAGAGAAAUAAACUAUUUUAUUAAAGCCACUAUAUUUUGGGGCCUCUUUUCAUUUUUUUUUUUUUUUUCCACAGCAGAAGCUUUCACCCUAACUGAUACUAUUUCCGUGCAGAGGAUGCAUCUGAUCUUAGCUGACUCUUUUUGAGUUAAAUUUUUUCAGAGUCUCCCUAAAGAGAGCUCUGCUUUGAAGUGUCAUACAUGGAGCUUCAAUAAAUUCUAAGCCUUUCAGACAAGUUCAAUGGAAGAAGACUCUGAUUUAUUGGGAUGACAGUGAACCCAGCUAAAAGACCACAAUUUUAAGCCUCCCUUGCCUCACCAAGUUCUGGCCAAUGAGAUGUAAGCAAAACUGUCACGUAUGACGCCUUCAUGUGAUGUCCCCUGAAAAGGGAAGUGUGGGACCCUCCUUUCUUCUCCCUCUAGUUGUGGAAUGCCCACAUGAUGGCUAUAGCUCCUACAGCGUGGGACCAUGAGGGGAGCUGGAGGAUGGAAGCCAGCGUCAGGACAGUGGAACAGAAAGGUCCCUGAUGACUGUGGAGCGACUGCACCAGCUCUUCACCUGAGUUCACUUCCUCCACUUGGGGGCAGAAGGAAAGGGGCCGUGAUGGACGAAGCACUGGUUGUGACCUGGGAGUCCUGAACUCAGUCCUGGCCCGACCCCUGACUGACAUGUGAUCUGUGGACCUCAGCCUCUUGAUCUAUAAAAGGGGAGACAACGGUGAGCAAGUUGCCAUGGCUUCUGCCCUCAUGAUGCUUACAGUCUGUCGGCAAACACAGCCAAGUAGUCACAAAGUAUAACGUGUGCGCCAGCAGGGAAGUGCACUUGUCAUUGGUGCCCGCGGCGGAAUCAGCGAACUUCCAGAGGAGUGUCUGUGCACAGAAGCACUGCGGCUCGCACCGAAAUGCAGGUGCCUGGGCACCAGCCCAGUUCUACCCCCUUUCUCCUGCCCAGGCAGGGCCAAGCGCUCCUGCUGCACUCUGCGGGGGGCACAGAGGCGCAGGACACGGGAGACAGGGCCCUCCCUCCUCGAGCUCCCUCCUCCUUUUGCUGUUGUGGUGCCUCUCGCCUGGCGUCUCUCCUCCCGCCCCCAUCUACUGCCCUCUGCCACUCUCUAGCAAGCACACUUCUGAAUCCACCAUGGUUUCUGGUUGCCAGACGCGAUUGGUAGUUGUCAGUCCUUGAUGACAGUAGCUACGUCACUUCCCUGUGCUUUCCAUCUCCCUCAGCGGACCGUGAGCUCUGGGAAGAUGGGGAGAGGGUCUUAUUCAUCCGUCAGAGCUUACCGAAUAAAAGGGAUAGGUAAUCUAAACUGAUUGAAUCUGUGCCUCUUCCCCCUUUUAACUUAUUUUAAAAUGCCCUUUUGUAGACUUGAGAUUCUUCAGAUGUGUGGCAAAAUAAGGUAGGUAUUUUCUUCAAUAUCUACAAGAGCAGCUUUAAGAACCAACUGACCCUGUUGACCUUUCUGGUUGUAAAUAGGCAUCUCGGUUUAAACUCCGUGAAAAUGAAAUUUUCGGGGGGAGCAAAUUCCAAAUGGCCCAAGGUCAAUUAAUUCGUGACCUCUUGGGGUGCAUUUCAGAACUGACCCUGACAGGCCCACUGGGAAGCAGUUCUGUUCAGUGAUAGGGUAUGUUUACCCACAGUGGACUAAGUGAAUGAUUGCGAGGCCUUACAAUGGAAUACUAGAGAGCUGUUAAAAAGGAGUGAGGCAAAUCCAUGUGGACUGAUGUGGAAAGAUCCCUGGUGUGUGUUAUUGAGAGGCAGAAACAAGGGCAGGUCCAAAUACAGAUUCAUCCCAAAUAUGGGCCUGUAUGUGCAGUCACUUUUUUUUGGAAGAAGACAUGAAAAACUGCUACCAGCCUACGUAUGGAGGAGGGGGAAUGCCCAUUUCAUAUCUUUCUGAACUAUUUGAAUGCUGUGACCAUGUGCAAGUAAUUUUUAUAUAACAAGAAAUUAACUGGCUUCAAAAGUUGUAAUUUUCAGAACAGCAACACUGCCAGUCUUCCAAGGUCAAGAGAGCAGACCAGCUCCUCGAGCUUCCCAGGCAUGCGUCACUCUCGCUGGCAGCUCUGGCACCCACGUCUCAGGGUGGCUUUGCUACGUUCUUCUUGUACCUACUGGCUCUCAUGAAGAAAUAAAAAUGUUACUUCUUUAUGACAAAUUCUCCUGAAAGAAGGCCAGCUGCCUAUGAAACAAGGAGAAGGUCAAGCCAGAAAAAAACCGAAAUUCUGAAUAAAUAAAAAAUUAGAACAUCAAAUCUGGCAAGUGACUUAGAGCUGCUACCUCACUGAGUGAGCCAUGAAAUCAUUUGAGAUAAUGCUCCAGCUGGAAUUUAUUUUAAUUGCUUUAAUCUUACAAUUAUAGGUCACUUAAAUUGCAUGUUACCCAUUUAAGGAGAAAAUAACAUGCUAUGACGGUAUUUGCAAAUGUGGGGAUUCCAAAAUUCUCUAAAUGCACCCCUCAGGGGUCUACACAAUAGUAUUGGGGUGCCUGCAUUGCUUUUUUUAUCAUUUAAUUAAUUUUUGUUUUUUGAGGAAGAUUAGCCCUGAGCUAACAUCUGCC